AAUGGAGAGAAAAUACUUUUCUUCAUCUUAUUAGGACUACACAAUAUACAUAUAUAUAUACACAAGUGUAACCUAAUUUAGAUCCUAAAAUCAUGCUAAUCUAAAUCAAUCUAUUACCUAAUUAAUACAUGAUACUAUAAUCAUAUGAUACCUAAUUAAUACAUGAUACUAUAAUCAUAUCUUUCCUAAUAUUAGAUCACAUAUCUUCAACACUCCCCCUCAAGCUGGAGCAUAGAUGUUGCUCAUGCCCAGCUUGUUACAAAGGUAAUCUACUCGAACCCCAUGUAGAGCCUUCGUAAAGAGAUCCCCC
rnacentral:lncRNA from 1 species